AUUAGGAAUCUUGCACAAUGGGGGAAACCCUGAUGCAGCGACGCCGCGUGAGGGAUGACGCAUUUCGGUGUGUAAACCUCUUUUGACAGGGAAGAAGAAUGUGACGGUACCUGUCGAAUAAGCCCCGGCUAACUACGUGCCAGCAGCCGCGGUAAUACGUAGGGGGCGAGCGUUGUCCGAAUUUACUGGGCGUAAAGCGCGCGUAGGCGGCUAUUUAAGUCUGGGGUGAAAGGUUCGACGCUCAACGUGAACAGUGCCUUGGAUACUGGGUGGCUUGAGUCUGGGAGAGGGUAGCGGAAUUCCUGGUGUAGCGGUGAAAUGCGUAGAUAUCAGGAGGAACACCGGUGGCGAAGGCGGCUACCUGGCCUAAGACUGACGCUGAGGUGCGAAAGCGUGGGGAGCGAACGG
rnacentral:rRNA from 1 species